rnacentral:rRNA from 1 species
GACGAAGGAUGCAAGCGUUAUCCGGAUUCAUUGGGUUUAAAGGGCGCGUAGGCGGUCUUGUAAGUCAGUGGUGAAAUCUUUGGGCUUAACCCAGAAACUGCCAUUGAUACUGCAGGACUUGAGUACAGAUGCUGUGGGCGGAAUAUGACAUGUAGUGGUGAAAUACAUAGAGAUGUCAUAGAACACCGAUUGCGAAGGCAGCUCACAAAACUGUAACUGACGCUGAGGCUCGAAAGUGUGGGGAUCAAACAGG